rnacentral:rRNA from 1 species
UACGGAGGAUGCGAGCGUUAUCCGGAUUUAUUGGGUUUAAAGGGUGCGUAGGUUGUUUUUUAAGUCAGCGGUGAAAGUUUGUGGCUCAACCCCGGCCCGCCGUUGAAACUGGCAGUCUCGAGUUGGAGAGAAGUAUGCGGAAUGCGCGGUGUAGCGGUGAAAUGCAUAGAUAUCGCGCAGAACUCCGAUUGCGAAGGCAGCAUACCGGCGCCCGACUGACGCUGAAGCACGAAAGCGUGGGUAUCGAACAGG